AACGAACGCUGGCGGCAGGCCUUACACAUGCAAGUCGAACGCCCUAGCAAUAGGGAGUGGCAGACGGGUGAGUAACGCGUGGGAACCUUCCCAGUGGUACGGAAUAACCCAUCGAAAGAUGGGCUAAUACCGUAUACGCCCGCAAGGGGAAAGAUUUAUCGCCAUUGGAUGGGCCCGCGUCGGAUUAGCUAGUUGGUAGGGUAACGGCCUACCAAGGCGACGAUCCGUAGCUGGUCUGAGAGGAUGGUCAGCCACACUGGGACUGAGACACGGCCCAGACUCCUACGGGAGGCAGCAGUGGGGAAUAUUGGACAAUGGGCGCAAGCCUGAUCCAGCCAUGCCGCGUGAGUGACGAAGGCCUUAGGGUUGUAAAGCCCUUUUGGCGGGGACGAUAAUGACGGUACCCGCAGAAUAAGUCCCGGCUAACUUCGUGCCAGCCGCCGCAGUAAGAC
rnacentral:rRNA from 1 species